rnacentral:lncRNA from 1 species
GGAAACUCAGUGUGCAACAAGCCCCUUUCAGAGCCCAAACUAAUCUCAGCAUACUGGGCCUAAGCCCAAAUUCAGUCUCAACAUAUACUGGGCUGAAGCCUUUCAUAAUUCAUAACACUAGGCCAAAGCCUUUUCAAAAUUCAAAUCACUGGGUCGAAGCCUUUACUGUAAGCGGUAUGGCCCAUAGGCCCAUUUCAAUAUCACAUGUAAUAUUAAUGAAUGUAUGUAAGCCCAUUUGGGGAGACUACUCAACCCACCAUCCGCUACUCUCCUCCCGUACCAACCAAGCUCUCCAUGUGAGGAAUAACUCAACCCACCCAACCAAACUCUCCAC